rnacentral:miRNA from 1 species
GCUGGUAGCUAAAAUUACAGACAC